GGUCCUUCAGUGCCACGGAAAACCCGGACCGCCUCUGGGCAUUCGAAUCAGGCCCCUCAGUUCCUAAAGCCGGCCCUGCUGGACUGUUCGCUGAGCAAAAUCACAUCCUGCUGCCGCAGCUACAGAUAAGGUCCAGUUCUGCAGCAGCCCAUUGACUUCAGUGUUGACUGGAAAAGAAUGCCGUCUGCUGAAUUACCAACACUAAUUCCUCCUGCUACCAAGUCUUCCACAGUGAUUUGACCUGGCAUGAUGUUGCUUAGCUUGUGAGAUCUGACAGAUCACAGCACAAGAAUUCAAGAAUAGUCCAGAAGGAAGACAGGCAGUCCUUAAGAAAGAAGUAUGAAAUAAAAAAGUUUACCAACCUGAAGAUCCUGCAUGUUCAGUCAUGUUCCUGUCAUCAUCGUCAACGCAGCUUCCUCCUGAGAAGGAACACUACUAUUGAUGUUUCAUGUGGGCAAACAGGCCUUGCAUUUCUUUGUUGCACUGUUUGCAUUUUGCAUGCAUGUCUU